CUGAUCCCUCAUGAAUAUGUAGAUUACUCUCACCCUUCACCUCGCUCUGGAAAAACCAGCCACCAUGUUGUAAGGAUGCUCAAGUAGCACUAUGGAGAUUCACACGUGGCAAAGAGCUGAGGCCUCCCACCAACAGCCACAUGAGGGAGCCAGAGUAGGAGUGGCUCCUCCAGCCCCAGUCGAACCUUCAGAUGUGACAGACUUGGCUGCUGACAGUUUGCAAUCUCAUGAGACCCUGAGCCAGAACCACCCAGCUAAAUCAGUCCUGGACUCCUGAUCAACAGAAAUGGUGUAGACCAAAGAGAGGCGUUUUGAACAUUAAGACGCUUUGCUGCUUCUCACCUGAAACACGUAACAGGAACACCAACCUCUUCAGCCGCGGGAAAUCUUCUUUGACACAAAACUCAAACCGAGUCAACCCAAAGUUCCAAGUUCUUUGCUUUCUCUUCUGUGUGUGUGUUGGUUUGUCCCAAAAGUCAGUUUGCAAGUUGAAACUUCAUGAAAUUACUCGUAGCAGAAAUAAAGUACAUUGUACAAAUCA
rnacentral:lncRNA from 10 species